rnacentral:rRNA from 1 species
UACAGAGGGUGCAAGCGUUAAUCGGAAUUACUGGGCGUAAAGCGUGCGUAGACGGUUAUGUAAGUCAGAUGUGAAAGGCCCGGGCUUAACCUGGGAAUGGCAUUUGAGACUGCAUAGCUAGGGUGCGGAAGAGGGAAGCGGAAUUUCCGGUGAUGAGCGGUGAAAUGCGUAGAUAUCGGAAGGAACACCAGUGGCGAAAGCGGCUUCCUGGUCCAGCACCGACGUCAGGCACGAAAGCGUGGGGAGCAAACAGG